rnacentral:hammerhead_ribozyme from 1 species
ACACUGACGAGGAGUCCCACAAUGGGAGGAAACGGCCGUCUAGUGU